CUUUGUGGCAGAGGAAAGGGGGCGGGGGGCGGGGCCUCGAGCCCAAAAGAGGGGGUGGGCUCCCCGCGCGCACAAGGCUGGGAAUCGCUAGUAGGAGGGAGGGAACCAGGGAGGAGCCGAAGGAGAAACAAGACUGCCUGAGCACAUGCAGACCCAUGCGACCCUUAGGGCCCGAGCUGUCCCCCAAGGACUUGCUUCGACACACACGAGCUCUGAGUGUGGUCAGCUCCGCGGACAUACAGCCAGGGCGGCGCACACACUGCGAUUCAGCUCCUUUCGCGCGGAAACAUGGGGACCAACAUGGCAACCUCGGACCCACAAACUCACUCGUACACACCGACACUCAGGUACACGGCUCUCCCAGCCAGGAAAGGGGAAGGGCUCGCCGCCAGGGGGAGCACUGGGCGCCGCAGGCGGACUCGGGCUCUGGCCCGUCCUUGUCCCGCCCCUUCACCCGCCCAUGCCACGCCCUUUAUUCGGCCCUCGGAGGCGAAUCCCGUUGUAACUGCUGCCAGGUCCAGCCCCUCGCAGCCCCAAACGCCCCGCCCUCUCCUACCUCUGUGGCCUGUCCAGCUCUGACCGUCUGCCAAAACUGUCCACGCCGCUCCUAAAGUCCCACCCUUUAUGGCAGCGCUCCCGCCCGCUCUCUUGUUUCCAGCUGCCCGCCCAGCGCCGCGUCCCCUCCUUACCCAGUUCUUUGGAGUAAGUGGCUCUUGCACCCUCUACCGGCCAGAGUUGCCCCUCUCUCUCUUCGGAACCCCGGACUGAUAAAAUAGCACUCACCACCAAAAAAACGGAGGAUUGGAAAGACUUCACUUCUUUUACUUCCUUUCAGUUCGCUAGUUCCUGCAGGAGCCGUUUUAAAACUAAGUCCUUCUUAAAGCACACUGCCCUUCCUUUGGCCUCAUAUACAAAAGGAGCUUCGACAGGAACGCCCUUGACUUGCCAAUGCCAAACCUCCACUCCUACCUGCGGUUGCUCCACCCUCAUGACAGGGAAGGUGUGGGUCAUUUCUGCUUCUAGCUGAUCCAGCCCUUGAUUUCCCCUCCCACCUCUGCUCCCGGGUCGGGCAAGUCUCGCAUUGUACCGGAUACUGGGGCCUUCCCCUCUCCCAUCUGCCUCUGCUAGGUCCCGUUCAUUCUUCUGGGCCCCGCUUUGUGCGGGACAGCUCCUCUACAUCUGAGUGAACGAAUGGGAAUUUAUGGAGUGCCUUCUGUGUAUGGGUAAUAUUAUUUCAUUUAUUUUAUUUAGCCUUCGAACCACCCUUGGUAGUCGAUAUUAUCGCCCUUUCUACAGGUCAUGAAGGAGAAGUAACUUUGACCAGUGUCAAAGUCAGGAAAUGGCAGCUCUUGCUAAGACUCAAAUUUGGAUUUUAGGUGCUUCAAACACCAUGCUCUUCCAGACAGCCUUCCCUAGUCCCAGAUUCCUGAUGAAGAAAGGAGUUCUUUCUCCUUUGAGCCCGCAGCAAUCUCCUCCUCCUUGGGCCUGCGCUCACCCUCCCCAGGAACAGAAGAUCCUUUUGGUCUCCUCAGCCCCAGGCCUGUGGCUGGGCCUAAGAUAGGAGGUCCUGGGAGCAGGAGGCCCUUGUCCAGAUGAAAGGGCAGAAUGGUAGACACUCAGGGAUUGCCUGACUGCCCGGAGAGAGAAGUUCUUUUUCCCAUAUCACAGAUGGGCAAACUGAUGGAGAGGAGUGGAGACUCAGGACACAGGUUCCCAGCAUCCUACAGCUUGGCCAUGCAUGAGGCUCCUCACCCGUGAAAGAGGAAUGAAAACAACUUAUCUAUCCAGCGAGUCCUGGCAACUCAGCGAGAUCAAGGCUGUAGAAUCCCUUGGAGAAGUCAAGAUGGGAAGGUUGUGACGGUCACAGUCAUGGCCAGUGAUGGGCCUUGAGUACUUAAGAGGAAGAAAGAUGAGGAGCGAGAGUACCCCAAGAAAAAAUGAGCUCCAGGAAGGAAAUCUGGCUCCUGACUCCAUUCCUGGCUCCUGACUCCAUUCCUGGCUCCUAUUAGAAAAUGACCUGAGAUUGUCCCGUCCCUUUCCUGUACAAUUAGACCUCAAGCACACAGAAUUGGAUUAUUUAUAAUCUUUUGUGCAUGACACAUUCUCACCAGUUAUUUGACUCCCGCCAAACAACAAACCAACUAAGACCUUUACAAUGUCCUACAUCUCAUUAUAUAGUCCCCCCACCACUCCUGCUGCCCCACCACCCAAGAUAACCAUCACCUCCGGUGUUCAGCAUUCUCUUGCUUUUCUUUUUAUACAGUUCUAUUGCAACUGCAUAUUUCUUUAAAGUAUAUGUUUUCAUUUUAAUUGUUUUUAAGUUUACGAAAAGCACAUCUUGCUGUAUAUAUUUUUUUGAAAUCUCUUUUUACUUAAUAUUAUACUGCUAAGAUUUAUCCAUAUGGUUGCAUAUCAUCAGUAUGGUGCAUUCCGGCUGUGUGAAAUAUUCCAUUGUGUGGAUAUAGCAUAGUGUAUUCAUCCACUCUCUUGUGGAUGAGCAUUUGAAUGUUUCCAGGUGUUUGCUCUUGUGAACAGUGCUGCUCUGAGCAUUUUGUACACUCCAGGUGCACAUGCACAGAAGUGUUCGUGGCAACGGGCCAUGCGACUACUUAACAUGAACAUGAGGAGGCAUUGUUAAGAUAGAAUUGAAUAUCUCUUCUA